GGGAGUAUGCUGGCUGGGCACACUAGGUGCUGUUUGCUGCUGAUCUGAAGCACUUUAAAGACGUCAGCAAGACUGAGGUAAAGAAAAUAUCAUUAAGUCCACCAAAAAGAGCAGCACAGGCAAGAACCAACAACACAUCAGCUAAACGGUCGAAGAAAAAAUGACUUCGGACUUCCCGAUUCACCUCUUGCUGGCGAUGAAAGACCUUCCCCGGCUUCAAGAAGUCCAUCUGUUAGAGAUCAUUUCAGCCCUGUGCAUCUUCACAGAGGAGCCACCUCAAUACCUGGAGCUGUACUUCCCAUCGAUCGUAUGAGGUUGAAUACUCCUCUCUUUCAACUCUGCUGCCUCACUUACAAUCACACCGUACUUAUAACUGUGAGUUCGAUUCCCCACAUGGGUACAAUGUGUGAAGCCCAUUUCUGGUGUUCCCCGCUGUGAUAUUGCUCGAAAUUGGAAUAAGCGGCGUAUUACUAAACUCACUCACUCACUAUAACUAUGAAAUAGCAGUUAUCCAAGGGAUGUAACUCUCCAUUGACUUAUGUGGACCUGCACAGCAUGUUCAAAUAUAGCAGUUAUGUGAUGUGAGAAACAUGGCUGGAAUCUGGUGCAUCAGAACAGGAUGAUUAUUGUCAUCAUCUGAUUGUUGGGAUGUGAAGGAGCCAAAUCCAGGGGAGGUAACUCUCCAAGGACUUAAUUAGAUGUCAUGGAGGCUGAUGUUCAUUUAAUAACCAAAUCAACUUUGGCACAGAUGAAGAUAGAUUUUUUAAUGCUAUCUUCUCUUUGUAUAGGGAGUCAUAGUGAUACAGUGCACAGGUCUCAUCUUCCACAAGCCUACCACCAAUGAAAUGACCUAAAUCUCUGUAUAUCUGA